rnacentral:rRNA from 1 species
UACGGGAGGCAGCAGUGGGGAAUAUUGCACAAUGGGCGCAAGCCUGAUGCAGCCAUGCCGCGUGUAUGAAGAAGGCCUUAGGGUUGUAAAGUACUUUCAUCGGGGAGGAAAAAACAAAACUAAUAAUUUUAUUUCUUGACGUUACCCGAAAAAGAAGCACCGGCUAACUCCGUGCCAGCAGCCGCGGUAAUACGGAGGGUGCUAGCGUUAAUCAGAAUUACUGGGCGUAAAGAGCACGUAGGUGGUUUUUUUAAGUUCAGAUGUGAAUCCCUGGGCUUAACCUAGGAACUGCAUUUUGAAACUGAAAAUAACUAGAGUAUCGUAGAGGGAGGUAGGAAUUCUAGGUGUAGCGGUGAAAUGCGUAGAUAUCUGGAGGAAUACCUGUGGCGAAAGCGGCCUCCUAAACGAAUACUGACACUGAGGUGCGAAAGCGUGGGGAGCAAACAGGGAUUAGAUACC